rnacentral:rRNA from 1 species
UACGGAGGGUGCGAGCGUUGUUCGGAAUUAUUGGGCGUAAAGCGCACGUAGGCGGCCCGUUAAGUCUCAUGGUGAAAGGCCGGGGCUCAACCCCGAGCAAGCCGGGGAUACUGGGGGGCUGGAGACAGGUAGAGGCCAGCGGAAUUCCGGGUGUAGCGGUGGAAUGCGUAGAGAUCCGGAAGAACACCGGAGGCGAAGGCGGCUGGCUGGACCUGAUCUGACGCUGAGGUGCGAAAGCGUGGGGAGCAAACAGG